CCGACUUUAGCUCAGUUGGUAGAGCGGAGGACUGUAGUGUUUACAUGGAAAUCCUUAGGUCGCUGGUUCGAAUCCGGCAAGUCGGA
rnacentral:tRNA from 1 species